rnacentral:rRNA from 1 species
GAUGAACGCUGGCGGCGUGCCUAAUACAUGCAAGUCGAGCGAACGGACGAGAAGCUUGCUUCUCUGAUGUUAGCGGCGGACGGGUGAGUAAAACGUGGAUACCUUACCUUUAAGACUGGGAUAACUUCGGGAACCCGGAGCUAAUACCGGAUAUUAUUUUGAACCGCAGGGUUCAAAGGAAAAGACCGGUUUGGCUUUCCCUUAUGGAUGGUCCCGCGCUGCAUUAGCUAGUUGGUAAGGUAACGGCUUACCAAGGCAACGAUGCAUAGCCGACCUGAGAGGGUGAUCGGCCACACUGGAACUGAGACACGGUCCAGACUCCUACGGGAGGCAGCAGUAGGGAAUCUUGCGCAAUGGGCGAAAGCCUGACGGAGCAACGCCGCGUGAGUGAUGAAGGUCUUCGGAUCGUAAAACUCUGUUAUUAGGGAAGAACAUAUGUGUAAGUAACUGUGCACAUCUUGACGGUACCUAAUCAGAAAGCCACGGCUAACUACGUG